rnacentral:rRNA from 1 species
CGGCAUGCCUUACACAUGCAAGUCGAAACGGCAGCACGGGAGCAAUCCUGGUGGCGAGUGGCGAACGGGUGAGUAAUAGUAUCGGAACGUGCCCAGUCGUGGGGGAUAACGUAGCGAAAGCUACGCUAAUACCGCAUACGAUCUAUGGAUGAAAGCGGGGGAUCGCAAGACCUCGCGCGAUUGGAGCGGCCGAUAUCAGAUUAGGUAGUUGGUGAGGUAAAGGCUCACCAAGCCGACGAUCUGUAGCUGGUCUGAGAGGACGACCAGCCACACUGGGACUGAGACACGGCCCAGACUCCUACGGGAGGCAGCAGUGGGGAAUUUUGGACAAUGGGCGCAAGCCUGAUCCAGCAAUGCCGCGUGCAGGAUGAAGGCCUUCGGGUUGUAAACUGCUUUUGUACGGAACGAAACGGUGAGCUCUAAUACAGUUUGCUAAUGACGGUACCGUAAGAAUAAGCACCGGCUAACUACGUG